UUGUUGCCAGCCUUACAUUGUCUCAAAC
rnacentral:piRNA from 1 species